rnacentral:rRNA from 1 species
AUUUUGACUGGGCAAAGGUAGCAUAAUCAUUAGUCUUUUAAUUGGAGACUGGUAUGAAUGGUUUAACGAAGUAUUAGCUGUCUCAUUUUAAUAAAUUGAAUUUAACUUUUGAGUCAAAAGGCUUAAAUAAAAUUAGAGGACGAAAAGACCCUAUAGAGCUUUAUAAAUUAAAUAAUAAAUUGGAUUUGGAGGUUUUUUUAUUUAAGUAUAAAAUUUAUUUUAUUGGGGUGAUAUGAAGAUUUAAUUAACUCUUUAUAAUAAUUGAACACUAAUAAGUGAAUAGUUGAUCCAUUUUUAGUGAUUAUAAGAUUAAGUUACCUUAGGGAUAACAGCGUAAUGUUUUUUAAGAGUUCUUAUCAACAAAAAAGAUUGCGACCUCGAUGUUGGAUUAAGGAAAAAGUUGGG